rnacentral:lncRNA from 1 species
CCUUAAUAUGCAUUUAAUUUGAGCUGCGUCGGAUAGAAAUCGACCUUAUGCAAGUGUACGUAUGUUUAUAUAUGUAUAAGACUUUGUUUAAUUUUGGAACAUUUAAAAAACGAUUCAAAGAUAAAUUUUGGUCUGAUAUAUAGGGUUUUCCGAUCAACAAAGUUAUCUCAUAUCAACAGUUACAUUUACUGAUUGUUCAUAGCGAUUUUUUUAGACCCGACAAAAGGUCAAAAGAUGUAUUGAUAUUCAUUUGCAUAAGGUCGAUUUCUAUCCGACGCAGCUCAUUUGUCG